GUGUCAGUAUGACUGCAUUACCUAGACAAUUCCAUCCCAAGUGGGCACUGGAUAUAAAGAUACGUCCACAGUGGUGGAGUUGUUCAGGUGGUGCAGCAGCAC
rnacentral:pre_miRNA from 1 species